UCCCUGGUGACUCAGGUGCUAAAGAAUCUGCCUGCAAUGCAGAAGACCUAGGUUCGAUCCCUGGGUUGGGAA
rnacentral:tRNA from 1 species